GCAAUGCCCGAAAGGGUGACUAUGCGACGCCGCGUGAGCGAUGAAGUCCUUCGGGACGUAAAGCUCUGUCAGGUGGGAUGAAUUUUUCGACCUUAACAGGGUUGGAAUUUGACCGUACCACCAGAGGGAAGCCACGGCUAACUCCGUGCCAGCAGCCGCGGUAAUACGGAGGUGGCAAGCGUUGUUCGGAUUUAUUGGGUGUAAAGGGCAUGUAGGUGUCCUAGUAAGUCCUGGCUGAAAUCCUUCGGCUCAACCGAAGAACGUGUCAGGAAACUGCUGGGAUUGAGUACGGAAGAGGAGAACGGAAUUCCCGGUGUAAGGGUGAAAUCUGUAGAUAUCGGGAGGAACACC
rnacentral:rRNA from 1 species